AAUAGAAUACCCCGGUAGUCCACGCCGUAAACGAUGAGUGCUAAGUGUUGGGGGUUUCCGCCCCUCAGUGCUGCAGCUAACGCAUUAAGCACUCCGCCUGGGGAGUACGGUCGCAAGACUGAAACUCAAAGGAAUUGACGGGGGCCCGCACAAGCGGUGGAGCAUGUGGUUUAAUUCGAAGCAACGCGAAGAACCUUACCAGGUCUUGACAUCCUGGUGACCACUAUGGAGACAUAGUUUCCCCUUCGGGGGCAACGGUGACAGGUGGUGCAUGGUUGUCGUCAGCUCGUGUCGUGAGAUGUUGGGUUAAGUCCCGCAACGAGCGCAACCCUUAUUCUUAGUUGCCAUCAUUCAGUUGGGCACUCUAAGGAGACUGCCGGUGAUAAACCGGAGGAAGGUGGGGAUGACGUCAAAUCAUCAUGCCCCUUAUGACCUGGGCUACACACGUGCUACAAUGGACGGUACAAACGGUUGCCAACCCGCGAGGGGAGCUAAUCCGAUAAAACCGUUCUCAGUUCGGAUUGUAGGCUGCAACUCGCCUAC
rnacentral:rRNA from 1 species